CGCUGCCUGAGGCGCAGGCGCGUGGACGCAGCCCGCCGGGGCCUCGCAUCGCUGUGGGCUUCCUCUGACGACCCAGCAGAGGCCUUUCCGCCUGGCGGUGCUCGGCGCCUCUGGCCUCACCGGCCAGUUCAUGACAGAGCAGGUGUCCCAGAGCGGACCUCCCACCUGCCGUGGGCCGCGCUGGCCGCUCCCCGGAGAAGCUGCGGAGAGUGCCGGAGAGGCUGCUGUGAAGCCGGGAAGACCAACACUGUCAUCUGAAAUUGGAAUAAUAAUUUCUGAUAUCACUAAUCCAGCCUCACUUGAUGAAAUGGCUACACCGGCAACAGUUGUCCUCAAUUCUGUAGGACCCGUACAUUGACUGUUAAGGAAAGUUUCCUGACCUUACAUUCAGGACCUGAGGUAUAGUUCAGAACUUGAGGUGCACUUGAACUUCCCUAAGGAAACCACAUGAUAUGAGAUGCUGAGAAAAAUUAAAUUGAUGUAUCUCCAGUGUACAACUUUCAUUUGAAGAUUGAAUAAAGAUUAGGAAAAAGAAGCUCAGUUCCUGGGGUCAAUGCAGUGGUUUAUACAGCAACUUAAACAACAGCAAUGAAAAAGUAGCAUCUAGGUGUUCAUUUCAUCUGCUUUCCAAAUGAAGUGACCAAACACCUCAAGAGGAUCUGGAUUUUUCCUGCAAGGAAGAACUUGUUGUCUUCACUUGUCUUCAAAUAAACUGAAACUUGAAGUAAAAAAUUUCACUAUACCUACACAUAGUAAGUACAUGAUAAAUACUAAUUACUCAGUUGAUUACAUAGGAUCAAUUAGAGUAAACAUUGUGUGCCAAGUGACUACCCAAGGAAUUCUAGAAAUCAGUUAACAUUUUUAUGUAGUGCACAAUGCAAGGCUUUAUUAUGUGUUACUGUGUCAUUAUACCUUGGAUUAUUUAUUGUGCUAAUCACUAGGGUUGCAAAAAUAAAAAUAUACAAGAAUCUCAAAUAUAGCAAGAGUUGCAACCAAGCAAAUCACCUCACAAAAUUAUGUAUAAAAUUCAGAGGGAUGAUCUUGAAGGCAGUGAAGGAUAUUAAAAAUCUCAUAGAAGAGAUAAUGCCAUACCAAAUUCCUACUCACCCUGGAAAUCACACUGGUUUUGAGGUUGAGUAGGAAUUUUGACAAGGCCAUAUACAAUUGAAAGUUAUGUGUGUGUGUGUAUAUAUAUAUAUAUACAUUGUGUGUGUAUGUAUAUAUGUGUGUGUGUGUGUGUGUGUGUGUGUGUGUAUAAAAUGACUGUGUGUAUAUGUAAAGUUAUGUUGGGGGCUGGAACAUUGUGGUAGGCAGAAUAAUGACCUCCCAAGAUAUCCAGAUCCUGGAUCCUGGAACCUGUGAAUGAUACCUUAUAGGGCAAACAGGACUCUGCAGGUGAGAUUAAAUUAAAGAUCCUGAGAUGGGAGGAAUUACCCUGGAAUACCCUCAUGAGCCUACCUGUGAUCACAAGUGUCCUGGUAAAAGGGAGGCAGAGGGAGAUUUGACUACAAAAGGAGAAGAGGUGAUGUGAUGAGGAAAGCAGAAACUGGAAGAUGUGUUUUGAAGGUGGAGAAAGAGCACAAGCCAAGGAACACAGGCCACUGGAAGCUGAAAAAGGCAAGGUGAUUGGAUUUCCCUCUCAGCCUUCACAAGGAAGCAUCCUUGCUGAUAAUUUGAAGUCAGCUCGUGUAUCUAAUGAUUUCAGACCUCAGACCUCCAAAACUGUAAGAUAAUGAAUGUAUGAUUUAUUAAUACCAAUAAGUUUGUGGUAGUUUGUUACAGUGGCAAUAGGAAACUAAUACAAGCAUGAGCUCUCAUGCUGAAAAGCCUCACUAGAAUCACAAACCUGACUCCAAAGAGCAUGGGAUAGGAAAGAGUUCCAGUUCCAGAAUCCUAGGAAACAAACAUUGAAAACUGCAUAAAGAAGAUCCAAUGAGAGAGACUGAAAAAAAAAAAAAAUCAAGGGAAAGAGUAUAAAGAAAUGAUGAUGUUGAACCCAAAGGAAGAAUUCUGUAGAAAUCUGCCCUCUCUUGCAUACCAGACAGAGAGACAGUAGAGAUAGGUGAUUGCAAAGCAGUGCUGGCAUUCUAAAUGAGAUUAUAAUUCAUAAAUCUGUAUUUGUUUUUCUACCAAUAUUUGAGGUAAUGGGAUUAAAAAAUCAAAUGUAAUGGGAAUAUGUACAUCAAAAAGGGUAUGAACUUGCAGGAAUUUAUAAAGUGCUUCAUAUGCUUUCCCUUUUGUACUUUAGGGUAUUCUAAAUUUUAUUUUAGUAUAAUGAUAUGAUAGUAAAUGCAUUUAAACCUGGCCCUCAAUUAUGAGUCUUAAAAAUAACCCUACUAAUUCUUUAUGAUUA